CAGUGCCUCGAGCCAAAUCCCUCUGAUGGCACUUUGCCACCAGCUGGUCUAGAGUGCAGCACUUGGUGUGGCAGCUCAGGAGGCCCCUCAGCCAGGGUCCAGCACUUGUCCUUUGAUUGUCCCACUUUCUAGGGGAAGGACACAGGCUCCCAGAGGUGAAGGGGUGUCAUGGUCACAGCCAGCGAGUGGAGGGACCAGAGCUCCGACUCUGGGGUGCAGGAUACCAGACGUUUGCUAGAACAGCAAUGACCAUCAUAUGGAUGAGUCAGCCGGCACCCUUCUUCCUGCUUGGUGGGAACCACCCGCCCAGGCCCAGCCCCUUCGCAGCUCCUGUUCUCAACUCUGAAGAGCGCCUGGUGUUGGCUGCAGCUGGAUGGCAUCUGGAGAGCCCUGCUUUGUUGCAUGGGAUGAGGGGCCUGUGGAGUGCUGCAGGCAGGGUGCCUGCUGUUCCCUGCUGUCCACCUGGUAACAAUGAGGGCAGGAGAGUCCCAGGAUCGCCAACCUUGGGAAGUCCAUGGCUGGAAGAAAGGGCCCUUGGGUCCACUGCACAGGAGCCUGUGGCAAGCACCGCACAAGAUGUCCUGGUGUCAGAAGCUGCCAGAUGCACCCAGGUCACCCUCCAGCUAUCUGCUGCAGGAAGUAGAUGUUCAGGUAUUGAUGGCUCAUUGUCACAUUUCAUGAAUGGUUUCACAAUCUUUGCAUUUCCCUCCUCUGUAUCUCCAUGUGCCGGGUGCUGGCUGGAACCCCUGGGGAAUUCUGGCAACACUGAUCCAGCCCCCCCAAUGCCAGGGAUAAUCCAUCCAGGCGCAACUUGGACACUAGGAGUUUUAAAAACGCCAUUGGGAAUUCUCAUACACAGGCAAAGUUGGGAAUCACUGAGGGAUCUUGAUAACCCUGAUGUCUGGAGAGUUACGAGUCACCGCCAGGCCCUGACUGUCCCAUGCAGCAGCCGGCCUUGCACCCUGGGAUGAAGGCCAGUGCCAUGUGGCCAGAUCGAAGCAGCCACGAACUGGGAGCAAGGACCAUGUCCAUUGGCUGACACACGCCGAGUGACCUGUGGCCAGGGCCAUGACACGUGCACACCCACGUGAGGCUGCUGCUGUGUAGUCCCAGCUGGCACUGUCUGCAGCUGCUUCUCACCUCAGCAGCCACCUUUCUGUCCCUGUGGUUCCCUGUCCUGGCUCCCAUCCCUUUCCCUGCAGAACACCAGGCCUCAGCCCAGCAGCCCCUGAACCCCUCUGUGGCUCUAAGUUUCUGUAAAAAUUCAGUGCUUCUGAUCUCAGUGUACCCGAGGGAAUUGGACAUCCAGGAAUCGCAUAUUACAGGGGCUCGUGUGCACUGUGUUCCACUGGAGCUCACCAUCCCUGGGGCCAGGCUCCCGAACUGCAGGCACAAAGUCGAAGGAGAGUGCAGCCAGCAGCCAUGGCCGCUUUGAGGGAGCCUGCUCAGCUCUGCGUGGCUCUGACCCUGUGGCAUCCAGGGUGACCCCCAAGUGAAUGUGCCAGAAAUCUGACUGCUACACUGGCCAGAAUGGUCACGGUCCCAGAAGACACCAUUUCAAAAACGGUGGCCCUGAAUGUUGAAAUCCUGAAAACCGAAAUUCUACUAAAAAACCCCAAACCUCCCUGUUGUAUCUGGGAUCAUCUUUCAGGAAUCCUGGCCAGAUCCUCCCUUGGGCUCCCCCGAGGAGGCAGUGCACACCUUUCUCUGGCUCCAGCUUUGCAGUAGGGGUCGGCCUGGCCGCGGCUUGCUCUGCCUGGGGUUCUGCAUUGGUUUUGCAUCCCAGAGCAGCUGUAUUCAAAUCCUUCUGUUCCCAGAGUGAGUCUAGGCGUGUCUCUGACAAGGUCCCCAUUUUUUUCUGCCUAAGACAAAUUAUUUAACUAACAAAAUGAUUGUUUCUAUGUAGUAGGAAAGUCCUUCAAUGGCUCCGUCAACGAGUCCUUCAGGAUUCACAGCUCAUCUCCUCAGCUGAGGCUCUGCUCCUCUGGGGGAAGGUGGUGGUCAGGCCGCAACUCAGGGGCGCCUUCUACCAAGUGUGGGUCGGGUUUCACACAGAGGCUAAGCGAAGGGGCCCCUGGGAAACGUGGAGAAAACCACACAGCUUUUCUAUGGAAUCCAGAGACAGACGUGGACUGAUUUCCGUCAGUUCACUCAUUACCCAGUGGGGUACUUACUAUGUAGUUUUUGGGGGGUGGCUGGCAAUUGAACCCAGGACCUCACACUUCUGCCACUGAGCUACAUCCCAGCCCUGUUUUACUGCUGUUGAUAGUUGGAGCCUUGGGGUAUAAUUAUAGUAAUGGUCAGGAUGAGUCUUUUAAUCAGUGAACUUUGGACUCAUGCAAACUGUCAUCCUCCAUUAACAGGAAAUGACUUCAGCAGCAACGAACCCUUUGAGCUCAACCCUUGGCUCCUCAGAGGAACACUUCGCUGAGAACUACUUGCUGCUUUUAUUUCUACAUGAUCCUUUGUGGGGACGCAGCCUCCCCUGGGGCUCAAUUACAGUUUUACACCACACAUUUUGCCUGGAAAAGCACAAUGAGCCGCCUGUACAGGGCUCUAUCUGCACUGCACAGAAAUGUAGCCCAUACAUUUUUUUUGGGGGGGUACCUCUCCUGCUGGCCUUAUGUUGGUGAAUGCACUACAGGCACCUGGAUAAAGGAACUUGUGAAACCAUUUCCUCUGGGUACUACAUUCUCUGCACACUUCUUAAGCAGAUAUCCCUCCAAAAUGGGAAAAGGCAAAGCCACAAGUGUUUUGAUUAUUCAAGACAUUCUUUUUUUUGGAUCCAGGGAUGGAACUCGGGACCUUGUGCUUGCGAGGCAGGCAGCAGAACCACUGAGCUAAAUCCCCGGCCCCCCAUACAUUUUUUGAAACCAGAAACUGUGUGUUAUUUUGAAAGAUGAUUUGUAGGAGCCAGGAUCAUAAUCAUAGGAUGCGUUGGGAAGGAGCUACUAAAAGUGACAGCAUACAACAGGCCUUGAAAUCUCUGUUUGUCUGCUAUACCCACUCUAAAAUAACUGCAAUAAAAGGAUGGGAAAAUGUAGAAAUAUCCUACUCAUUAAGCCACAUGCCCUUAGGCUUCAACUGAACAUGUUUAAGUAGAAAGAAUAAUACCCAUUGUAUCAGUCAGCUUUCCUGUUGCUGGCACACAAUAUCUGACACCCACAAUUUAAAGGAGGAAAGGUUCAACUUGGCUCACAGUUUCAAGGGGUUGAGUCCAUGGUCAGCUGGCUCUAAGGUAGGAACAUCGUGGUGGGAGGGAGUGGCUAAGCAAAAAUGCUUAGUUUGUGGUGGCUGGUAAGCCGAGCAGGGGAACCAUACAAGAGAGGAAGUGAGGACCUACAUCAACUCUAAGGCUGUGCCCCACUCAGACACCCUCAGGAAUCUGCUCCACCUUUCCCCAGGUGGAUCCCAAAGCCAAUCAAGCUGACACUGCCCUCGCCACCCCCACGCUCAUUAAUAACUGAUAGUUACACUGUAGUUACAAGGGCUCUUCAGGAAAGAGUAUCCGUGGUUACUAGAAAGAGCUACACAUUUAUGCUGGACGUGCUAUCUGGGAAAUUAGAAAUUCUUGCUGCUCCAAAGCCAGGCUGUCAAACUGGACACAGUCACUUCCACUUCUCCAGGGAUAUGCCCGGAGCCUGCAGCCUUGCCAGGGAUGAGCUCAGGGACAAAGGCUGCACCAUUUAUACAGCAAAACUGGUGACAAGCAAUGCAAUUUAAACUCUGUCCGCAAAACAGAGCCAUUGGAAAGAGGCGUGCACUCCAGAGUUCUUUCCCGUGGGAUCUCGAAACUAUCUGAAGUGUUCUGAAGGGGUCUCCCACCGAGCAGAGUUGGAGCCAGCCAGGGUCCCCAUUACCAGAUCUGUCAGGGCCCGGGUCUCUCCCUUAGCAAAUCCCCAUUAUGAUUAAAGACCGGCUGUGCUUCAGUUCUCUUUGGCUGCAGACUGGCUUCCUCACUACAGUCUGGAAUAGAGAACCUGUCAGUGUUGGUGAAGAAACACCCGUCCUCUUGUGGGCACUGUGGGCACUGCAGGCACGGCUUCCAU
rnacentral:lncRNA from 1 species